rnacentral:rRNA from 1 species
UACGUAGGGGGCAAGCGUUGUCCGGAAUCAUUGGGCGUAAAGAGCGUGUAGGCGGCUUGGUAAGUCCGCUGUGAAAGUCCAGGGCUCAACCCUGGAAUGCCGGUGGAAACUGUCAAGCUUGAGUCCGGAAGAGGCGAGUGGAAUUCCUGGUGUAGCGGUGAAAUGCGCAGAUAUCAGGAGGAACACCAAUGGCGAAGGCAGCUCGCUGGGACGGUACUGACGCUGAGACGCGAAGCGUGGGAGCAACAGG